rnacentral:rRNA from 1 species
GAGUUUGAUCGUGGCUCAGAUUGAACGCUGGCGGCAUGCCUUACACAUGCAAGUCGAACGGCAGCACGGGAGCUUGCUCCUGGUGGCGAGUGGCGAACGGGUGAGUAAUGCAUCGGAACGUAUCCUGGAGUGGGGGAUAACGUAGCGAAAGUUACGCUAAUACCGCAUAUUCUGUGAGCAGGAAAGCGGGGGACCUUCGGGUCUCGCGCUCUUGGAGCGGCCGAUGUCGGAUUAGCUAGUUGGUGAGGUAAAGGCUCACCAAGGCGACGAUCCGUAGCAGGUCUGAGAGGAUGAUCUGCCACACUGGAACUGAGACACGGUCCAGACUCCUACGGGAGGCAGCAGUGGGAAUUUUGGACAAUGGGGGCAACCCUGAUCCAGCCAUGCCGCGUGAGUGAAGAAGGCCUUCGGUUGUAAG